rnacentral:misc_RNA from 1 species
GAUGAAGAACGUAGUGAAAUGCGAUAAGUAAUGUGAAUUGCAGAAUUCAGUGAAUCAUCGAAUCUUUGAACGCACAUUGCGCCCGCCAGUAUUCUGGCGGGUAUGCCUGUUCGAGCGUCAUUACAACCCUCAGGCCCCCGGGCCUGGCGUUGGGGAUCGGCGGAAGCCCCCUGCGGGCACAACGCCGUCCCCCAAAUACAGUGGCGGUCCCGCCGCAGCUUCCAUUGCGUAGUAGCUAACACCUCGCAACUGGAGAGCGGCGCGGCCACGCCGUAAAACACCCAACUUCUGAAUGUUGACCUCGAAUCAGGUAGGAAUACCCGCUGAACUUAAGCAUAUCAAUAAGCGGAGGA